rnacentral:rRNA from 1 species
GUGAGGAAUAUUGCGCAAUGGAGGCAACUCUGACGCAGCCAUGCCGCGUGCAGGAAGAAGGCGCUACGCAUUGUAAACUGCUUUUAACCGGGAAGAAACCCCAGGACGUGUCCUGGGUUGACGGUACCGGAGGAAUAAGCACCGGCUAACUUCGUGCCAGCAGCCGCGGUAAUACGAAGGGUGCAAGCGUUAUCCGGAUUCAUUGGGUUUAAAGGGUGCGUAGGCGGAGCGUUAAGUCAGUGGUGAAAUCCUGCAGCUUAACUGUAGACUUGCCAUUGAUACUGGCGCUCUUGAGUGCACUUGAAGUGGGCGGAAUGUGCCGUGUAGCGGUGAAAUGCUUAGAUAUGGCACAGAACACCAAUUGCGAAGGCAGCUCACUAAGGCGAUACUGACGCUGAGGCACGAAAGCGUGGGGAUCGAACAGGAUUAGAAACCCCUGUAGUCC